AUGUCUUCAUACUGCAGUCUUUAUUGUUGCUUUAUUUUCUCUCAGAAGCCACAGGUUCCUCAAGAGGGGUCAGGACCACUGGAUCAGAAGCUGCAGGAGCUACGACCACGGUUUCACCUGUUACCAGCAGCAGUUCACAGGGUCCCAAGCCAGGUACUUCUGGAGAAUUCUCUGGGACAACCAUUUCAUCUGGAGGCUUCCACACAGGUAGUUGAAUGGGAAUGAGUUCCUCAUCUGGAAUGCAUGAUAACUUUGCAGAGCUGCAAUAAAAAACUAGCACUGUGAUAGUUUUCCACAGUAUCUCAGAUUCCCCAGACCUCUUUAUUUUCUUCUUUUCUCAGAAGCCACAACUCUCACAGGAGGUAGGGGCAGUACUGGAACUGAAUCCAGAGCAGGUGAGGCGGAGCAGCUCAUGAUUUGGGAUUUACUGUGAAUCGUGACUCUCAUAAGCAUGACUUGUUUGGAAGUGGGCUUUCCUACAGAAUAUUUUGCAUUUAUUUCUGGACAAUGCAUCUUAGCACAAAUAGUUCUGCCUUUAAAUUAAAUAUUUUCCCAAAAAUUUACCAAUAUCCUAUUAGAAGUGAAAUGUCUCUUGUAAUUGUUCUGAGAAAUUUCUCCUGUAAUGUUUGUUAUAUGUAAGUAUGGCCAGGAUAUUAGUAGGAGUAAAAAACAUUUGUGAUCCAGGGAAGGAGAGAUAAUGUAAAUGAAUCCUAGAAAUACUUGUAAAUAGAGGUUUCCAUGCCCUAAAAACAAUAUAAUUAUUAGUGCUUUCUUGACAUCUCAAAUUGCCAGCAAACUUAAUUUUUUGUCUUUCAUUCCUGGCAGUAAAUUGGUGAAUAUGGAAAAUUGUGUCUCUCCCUCUCAUGGAAUUUAUAUUGCUUCCAGCUGAAGAACUGGCCCCUCUGAUUGCAUUGAGAAUUAAAUGGUUCUGCAGGUUGACAGGGAACUCUUCAGAGCUCCUCUCAUAAUUAGAUAUCUCUUCUGGUGUUAUUGUUUAUGAGAGUAAUUCCCUAUCUGUUUCAUGACCUUUGAAUAUUUUCCAAAUAUGUCUUUUCUGUUUUUCUGUCUCUCAGAGUCCACAACUUCCCUACAAGAAAGUGCAAAGACAAGAGGUGGAAUAGCGACAGGUGAGCAUUACUGGUUCAUUGCACUCACUUGCUAAUAAGAUCCAAUAAAGCCUGUGGCUUGAAAAGUAUCCAUACUCUCAUUUCUCCCAUAUUAACAUUGUUAGGAAAGUUCCUACCAUUUUUUCACUGACUAAAUACAGAAUCUCAAAUUUCAUUCUUAUUUCUUGUGCUUGAACAGACUCUUCUAUUGCCCCCCAAGGUAAUCAUGCAGCCAUUUGACUGACAGUUACAUAGAAAAUCUAGAGUUAGCUUCUAUCUCCCUAUUCAUGAAAUCUUGAGAAAAGGAAGCCUAAUAAGUUAAAAAAAAAUUGGGUAAAUAGACCAUGGGAAGAAUAUUAUCUGAGAAGUGUAGAGAUUAGUUUUUGGCAUUUAAAGGCCAGUUUAUUGAAAUAAUGAAUAAGUAUACAGCCUGUGUCCAUUUAUUUGCUUAAUACUCUUUUCUCACGUCAUAGUAAUGAGGUAAUGACCCCCCCAUUGCCCCAUCCCUUUCUUAAUAGCUACCAAUGGGGCAUUCUCUGGAAAGACUCUGGAACCUGGGAAUGGUAACACAGGCAAGUCAAAAAGCACACAAGGAAUGCUACACCGUGGCUGCACAGGUGUAACAUAACCUCCUAGGGUACUAGGGUAAUGUAACCCUGUAUUCCCCAUACUGCAGACUUCAUGCUUGCUUUCUUUUCUCUCAGAGGCCACAAGUUCCACAGGAGGGGUCAGAGCCACUGGAACAGAAGCUCCAGGAGGUAAGGUUCGCCAGUCCCAAACCUCAGGGUUCUCCUCAUUGCCCUGUUGUGCUGAGGUGAACACAUAAAUGAGAAUGGGGGCUAAGGAAAGGGGGUUACUUCUUGUCUAGAAGCACAACAUAUAUUCUGACUAUCCUGAGUAGUCCUGCUAAGGAAUUCCUGCCACUUGGUCAUCUAAGUUAGGCAUUGCUCCACGGCCUGUGUGACAGUGUUAGUUCUCUGGACACCUAGCUGAGACCCACUGACCUGCAGCAGCCUCCACAGAACCCUGAUUCUCCCCACUCAGGCCAUCAUGAUUCCACAAAGCACUAUCACCUGUUGCCAUCUCUCUAACAUGUUUAUUACACUUCUUGCAUAUUUUCUAUUUCCUCUCUCACAGACACAAAUCUCACAAGGCAGAUACUUUGUCUGUUCUCUUCACUGAGAGGAUGAUGUCAGGCACAGAGGAAAUGCUUACAAAAUAUGAGAUGAGUGACAGGCAUAUUCUCAUGUAGAGAGUCACUGUUUACUUCACAGUUUCACUUGGUGUCAGCAGCAGUUUAUUGGGUCUGAAGGAAGUCAAGGAGGCUACUUAAAACACCAUGGAAAUGUAAAAAUAUCGACAUAAGUGUAUUCUUAAAUACCUGAUUAUCACACUAUCACCAGUUAUACAAAUAAGAACAUUGGAAAUAUCAAAAUGUUUCCUUCUUUUCCCGCUGGAAUGGCAGGGAGCCACAUCACUGGAAGUGGAAUCAGUAAAGUGAAAUUAAGCUUCCUUCUUUUUUUUUUUUUUUGCUAGGGUACAGUGGAAGGAAUAGUCAGUGCGAGAACAUUAAA
ensembl:lncRNA